GCCUACAAAACCCGCAUCUAAGGAUAAAGGGAUUUCGCGGCACAACGAGUCUGUUGCAUCACAAAAAGAGGUAUUUGCUCAAGGGUCACAACAACUGAGCCAGAAAAUUGGUAGUCGACAGAAAAACAAAAGGGAUCUUCCAGUGACUUCUUUGCCAAAAAAAGGUGCUUUUGUGCCUCGAUACCAGAUAUCUCUUGAAACACUUGUUGACUCAUCAGAUAUGGCAACAGCUGGUGCUAUUCGCUUACUGGAUAUGGAGGAAGAUAUCUUUGGUUAUUCAUGCACUGAAACAAUCGGAAAAGAAGAUCUGGAACAUAUUUUUCGGCAUCAAGAAUUAGGCGUCGGUGUUAUACACACAUACAUCCGGUUCUUGUAUGACAAUUUCAUGCGCGGGAAUGAUCAAUUGUCAAACAGAUUCCGUUUCGUGUCUUCCUCCCUGGUCAACAAAGCAUUAAUUUGUAGGGAACCGGAUUCAUGUAGAGAGUACUUAGUCAAGAGAUUCAUGGCCAGCAGUACAAACAACUUGUAUCUUUGGCCGUAUAAUUCAGGGUUAGAUUUUAAUUCUAAGUUUAUUCUAAUCUUUAAUUGUUUCUUUUACGUAAAAAAUUUCCAUAUAAACUUUUGUUUUAAUUUAUAGGUGUCACUGGUUGUUGCUUGCUCUUGAUCCUUUAAAAGAAGUGGUAUAUUUUCUGAAUUCGAUAGAUGGUGAAUGGACAAAUUAUCCGGAUAUGAAGCAAUUAGUUGAUACAUCAAUAAAAGUGUUCCGAUCUCAAAGACAAGCUCGAGUACCACGUACUAAAUCCAGCAACAUUACGUGGAUAAAAGUGCAGUGUCCUCUACAGCGCAACGGUAUCGAUUGCGGAUACUUUGUAAUGAGGUUUAUGAGGGAAAUCAUUAAUAUGAAUCAAAUAGAGAUUCCAAUCACGUACUUUGAUGAAUACAAGUGUGCUCAUUACACGAGACUGCAGUUGGAACAAAUCAAGGAGGAAUUGUGUCAAUAUUUUAUUGAGAAAAGAUUAAUUAUAUAAUGGUUUCAAAAUAACAUGAAUACUUUGAUGAAGAAUGGUUUCUGGUUGGCAAGUGUAUAGUUCUUUAUAUUUUUAACAGAUUAGUUAUGACUCCAAAUAGGCCGUAUAACAUAUUAGU